rnacentral:rRNA from 1 species
AAUCAACGCUGGCGGCGUGCCUAACACAUGCAAGUCGAGCGAGAAAGUGGAGCAAUCCAUGAGUAAAGCGGCGACCGGGUGAGUAACACGUGACUAACCUACCUUCGAGUGGGGAAUAACUCCGGGAAACCGGGGCUAAUACCGCAUAACAUCGAAAGAUCAAAGCAGCAAUGCGCUUGAAGAGGGGGUCGCGGCUGAUUAGCUAGUUGGCGGGUAACGGCCCACCAAGGCGAAGACGGUAUCCGGCCUGAGAGGGCGCACGGACACACUGGAACUGAAACACGGUCCAGACUCUACGGGAGGCAGCAGUGGGAAUUUUGCGCAAUGGGGGAAACCCUGACGCAGCAACGCCGACGUGGAGGAUGAAGCCCCUU